UACGUAGGGGGCAAGCGUUAUCCGGAUUUACUGGGUGUAAGGGGAGCGUAGACGGCUGUGCAAGUCUGAAGUGAAAGGCAAGGGCUCAACCUUUGGACUGCUUUGGAAACUGUGCAGCUAGAGUGUCGGAGAGGCAAGUGGAAUUCCUAGUGUAGCGGUGAAAUGCGUAGAUAUUAGGAGGAACACCAGUGGCGAAGGCGGCUUGCUGGACGAUGACUGACGUUGAGGCUCGAAAGCGUGGGGAGCAAACAGG
rnacentral:rRNA from 1 species